AUUGAACGCUGGCGGCGUGCUUAAUACAUGCAAGUAGGACGCAGUUGCGAACGGGUGAGUAACGCGUAGGUAACUACCUAUUAGAGGGGGAUAACUACUGGAAACGAUAGCUAAUACCGCAUACUAGUAGAUGGACCUGCGUUGUAUUAGCUAGUAGGUAGGGUAAUGGCCUACCUAGGCAACGAUACAUAGCCGACCUGAGAAGGGGAUUGGCCACACUGGGACUUAGACACGGCCCCGACUCCUACGGGGGGCAGCAGUAGGGAAACAUUGGCAAUGGGGGGAACCCUGACCGAGCAACGCCGCGGGAGGGAAGAAGGGUUUCGGAACGUAAAGCUCUGUUGUUAAGGAAGCGGUACUUAACCAGAAAGGGACGGCUAACUACGUGCCAGCAGCCGCGGUAAUUC
rnacentral:rRNA from 1 species